GGGGUGGUGGCGCACACCUGUAGUCCCAGCUACUCGGGAGGCUGAGGCAGGAGAAUUGCUUGAACCCAGGAAGCGGAGGUUGUAUUGAGCCAAGAUUGUGUGAUUGCACUCCAGCCUGGGCAACAAGAGCAAAACGUCUUAAAAAAAAAAAAAUUGUGAUGACUCUCUAGGGAAAACAAUUCCCUGAACUGUCUGGGCUGGGGGACCUUUCUGACUUUUCUCUCGACAUGGAGUCUUCCCUUUGAGAGGUCACAGCCAGGCUGGUAGCCUCAGGGCAGGGUGGGAAGUGGUCCCCACAUCUGGUUCUUUGCCAGAGCUCCCCAUCUCCGUGGCUGGCACCACCACCCACUCAGCCGCUCUGCCUAGAGGUCAUGCUUAACAUUUCCCUCUCCCUCAUCUUCUUUU
rnacentral:lncRNA from 10 species